rnacentral:rRNA from 1 species
UACGUAGGGGGCUAGCGUUGUCCGGAAUCAUUGGGCGUAAAGCGCGUGUAGGCGGCCCGGUAAAGUCCGCUGUGAAAGUCGGGGGCUCAACCCUCGGAUGCCGGUGGAUACUGUCGGGCUCGAGUACGGAAGAGGCGAGUGGAAUUCCUGGUGUAGCGGUGAAAUGCGCAGAUAUCAGGAGGAACACCGGUGGCGAAGGCGGGUCUCUGGGCCCAAAACUGACGCUGAGGAGCGAAAGCGUGGGGAGCGAACAGG